UGUAAGACACUCUACUGAGAUGUUGGGAAUACAUACAGAAAUAAUCAUUGCCACCUAGGAAAUUGAAGGCAAACUGAAACAGUGAAGACCCUCCAAAAGCCCAUCUCACCUUAGAAACGUGAAGCCUAUGCUCAGGUAUAAGUCAAAAGUAGAAGAUCGCUCCAGAUAUCACAUCUUGGUAAAUCCCAUUGCACCUGCACUGGUGCUUCCUGCCUUCAUUUUCUAACAUGACCUGGCCAUGGUCCUCUCCUCCAGCAUCAAUUCGGAAAGAAAGAGCUCCCAGAUUACAGCAUGGAGAAUGCAUGUGAAGCAGCCAAGCACUCCUAUAAUGUCAUGAAUUAUACACUAUUUAAUGUACCAGAAUGCAAGAUGGCAAUGGCCUAUCCUGGAGGACAAUAAGGAUGGAGAGAAAUGAACUAAUUCUAGAGGCAUUUAGAAGGUAGAAUUCUUGAGACUUUGUGAUUAAUAUUAUGUGAUGAACCAGCAAGAGGAAUCAAGAAUGAUGCCAACAUGUGAAGCUUGGUCAGCUGAAUAGGAGACAGCAUAAUUUACCAGAGUAAGAAAUGAGGCCAUGGGUGGUGGCUCACACCUGUAA
rnacentral:lncRNA from 1 species